UAAAGUCCAUUUUGAAUUAUUUGGGGAAUUAAAUAUUAUCAUACCUAAAGAGUACAAUUUUUUUACAUUUUAAAUCCCAGAUAUAAUUAUACUAAGCAGUUGAAUUUUGUAUUUUUUUUAGCCGUCCAUUUUCUAUUUUAACAUUGAAAAAAAUGUACAAAAGGACACAGUUUUAACCAGUUUGAUUUUUCUUUUCUAUACUUUGGAGGUCAAGACAUCUUUAUGACAGAAGAACAGAAGAAAUACUAUAAUGCAAUGAAAAAAUUAGGAUCGAAAAAACCGCAAAAGCCUAUACCUCGACCAGGAAACAAAUUUCAAGGAAUGGUCUUUGACUUCGUAACCAGACAAGUUUUUGACAUAAGCAUCAUGAUUCUCAUCUGUCUUAACAUGGUCACAAUGAUGGUGGAAACAGAUGACCAGAGUGAAUAUGUGACUACCAUUUUGUCGCGCAUCAAUCUGGUGUUCAUUGUGCUGUUUACUGGAGAGUGUGUACUGAAACUCAUCUCUCUACGCCAUUAUUAUUUUACCAUUGGAUGGAAUAUUUUUGAUUUUGUGG
rnacentral:sRNA from 1 species